rnacentral:rRNA from 1 species
CGGCGAGUGAAGCGGCAACAGCUCAAAUUUGAAAUCUGGCGCCUUCGGUGCCCGAGUUGUAAUUUGUAGAGGGUAGCUCGAGCCCGCCCCCGUCUAAGUCCCCUGGAACGGGGCGUCGUAGAGGGUGAGAAUCCCGUAUGCGACGGGGUGGCGUGCUCGUGUGAGCUCCCUUCGACGAGUCGAGUUGUUUGGGAAUGCAGCUCUAAAUGGGAGGUAAAUUCCUUCUAAAGCUAAAUACCGGCCAGAGACCGAUAGCGCACAAGUAGAGUGAUCGAAAGAUGAAAAGCACUUUGGAAAGAGAGUUAAAAAGCACGUGAAAUUGUUGAAAGGGAAGCGCUCACGACCAGACUCGGGUGCGGCUGCUCAGCCGGUCUUCUGACCGGUGCAUCGGUUGUACCCGGGCCAGCAUCGGUUCGGGCGGUCGGAUAAAGGUUCCGGGAACGUAGCUCCUCUCGGGGAGUGUUAUAGCCCGGGGCGCAAUGCGGCCUGCCCGGACCGAGGAACGCGUUCGCUAGGAUGCUGGCGUAAUGGUCGUUAGCGGCCCGUCUUGAAACACGGACCAAGGAGUCUACCAUCUGUGCGAGUAUUAGGGUGUCAAACCCUUGUGCGUAAUGAAAGUGAACGGAGGUGGGAACCCUUUAGGUGCACCAUCGACCGAUCCAGAUGUCCUCGGACGGAUUUGAGUAAGAGCACCGCUGGUGGGACCCGAAAGAUGGUGAACUAUGCGCGGAUAGGGUGAAGCCAGAGGAAACUCUGGUGGAGGCUCGCAGCGGUUCUGACGUGCAA